CCCCCGAUAGCUCAGUUGGAAGAGCGCGGCAUUGUAAUUGCUACACAACAAAAGACUGCCGCGGUCACCUGUUCAAUCCAGGUUCGGGGGA